UGUUAAACAAACAAACCAAAACUUGCUUCCUGCGUCAGCGUUAACUUCCUGCAGCUUAGAAACGAACAACAAUAUACGGCUGCGGCUGCGGCAGUGUCGGCGUCGGCGUCGGCGUCGGCAAAACGAACAACAACCAAACGACGCUGACGCAGACGCCAAAAUCCGCGGCAACCAAACGAACAAGCAAGUCGCAAGAUUCUUCAUCUAAUCUAUAAACACCUAUACUCACUUACAGUAUGUCGAUUCCGGUUGACUCUAUCACCGUGGGUUCUUUAAAAUUCUUCUGCUCUGAACACAUACUUUAAGAUCAAGACCUAAACAACGAUGUCAUAUAGUUAAUCAAUAGUUAUGAAACUGACUAAAUCAACUGUUCUGAAAAAACUAAAUCUCGUCAGCUAAUGGAAAAAAUAUUGCGACUCUAACCUCUAAGGAUCGACAUACGAAAGAGAGAUGAAGUUCUUCACCUUAAGAUGACUUUUUUUUCCGUUUAUGUCGGUGAAGUCACUUAGAUUAAUUGUUUUAGUGGCCCUCUCAACUCUAAGUUACGCUUCAACUUCGCUUCUGAUGAUUGGAAGAUACUAUCUCUGGUCUAAUCUCUCUCUCUCUGGUGAUAAGAAUCUUCGUUAUCUCUCACUUUUAGCUUUGCAGGCCUAGCGAAAUCAACGACUCCACAAUCAAAUCUUCAAAUCGCCUUAACCAAUCAGCGACCACAUCUCUGCUUUGAUUAAACACAAAAUCUCAUCCUUCAGAGAUUCGGAUCCAGUCUGCUCCAGUGAUUGCAUUCAGCUUUGGCUCUCCCUCUCUUGAUCCGAUCGUUUUCACCUAUUGAGAAAAUGCAUGCAGCUUCCAAUCUCCCUCUUCAGGCGAUCAUCUGUCUUCUCGCCGUCCUCGACAAAUUGACUUCACUACAUGGGCUUCGAUAUUCCAGGCAACCCAUUCAUUAUCUUUCUCUGGAUAUCUGUUAAGGUGGCACUUUGUUGGGCCUUGCCUCAAAAAUCUAUUAUGAGCCAAUUUUUCUACGUUUUUAAACUGCACCAAUCACUUUUCUUUUCAUCUUCUAGAGUC
rnacentral:lncRNA from 1 species